rnacentral:rRNA from 1 species
AGCGAACGCUGGCGGCAGGCCUAACACAUGCAAGUCGAACGAACCUUUCGGGGUUAGUGGCGGACGGGUGAGUAACACGUGGGAACGUGCCUUUAGGUUCGGAAUAACUCAGGGAAACUUGUGCUAAUACCGAAUGUGCCCUUCGGGGGAAAGAUUUAUCGCCUUUAGAGCGGCCCGCGUCUGAUUAGCUAGUUGGUUGAGGUAAUGGCUCACCAAGGCGACGAUCAGUAGCUGGUCUGAGAGGAUGAUCAGCCACAUUGGGACUGAGACACGGCCCAAACUCCUACGGGAGGCAGCAGUGGGGAAUCUUGCGCAAUGGGCGAAAGCCUGACGCAGCCAUGCCGCGUGAAUGAUGAAGGUCUUAGGAUUGUAAAAUUCUUUCACCGGGGACGAUAAUGACGGUAUCCGGAGAAGAAGCCCCGGCUAACUUCGUG